rnacentral:rRNA from 1 species
UCCCAUAACUAUAUGUUAGUAAGAGCCCUGAGAGAAGAUCAGGUAGAUAGGUUAGGAGUGGAAGUUGUGUGAGCAAUGGAGCGGACUAAUACUAAUAGCUCGAGGACUUAUCCAAA